GAUGAACGCUAGCGGCAGGCCUAAUACAUGCAAGUCGAACGGUAACAUGAGUAGCAAUACUUGAUGACGAGUGGCGCACGGGUGCGUAACGCGUAUACAAUCUGCCUUUAACUGGUGAAUAGCCCGAAGAAAUUCGGAUUAAUACACCAUAGUAUAUUGAGGAGGCAUCUCCUUAAUAUUAAAACUCCGGUGGUUAAAGAUGAGCAUGCGUGACAUUAGCUAGUUGGUGAGGUAACGGCUCACCAAGGCAACGAUGGCUAGGGGAGCUGAGAAGAUUAACCCCCACACUGGUACUGAGACAGGGACCAGACUCCUGCUGGAGGCAGCCGUAAGGAAUAUUGGUCAAUGGUCGCAAGACUGAUCCAGCCAUGCCGCGUGAAGGAUGACGGCCCUAUGGGUUGUAAACUUCUUUUGUACGGGAAAAAACCCUUCUACGUGUAGAGGGCUGAUUGUACCGUAAGAAUAAGGAUCGGCUAACUCCGUGCCAGCCGCCGCGGUAA
rnacentral:rRNA from 1 species